rnacentral:tRNA from 1 species
CAAAUUAGAGCUUGUUAAAGUAUUUCAUUUACAUUGAAAAGAAAUUAUUAAAUUUUAAUUAAUUUGA